rnacentral:rRNA from 1 species
GGGGGGGGCGGGCGGGGGGCGUGGCGCAGGCGGGUGGGGCGGAAAGGCGCUGCUUGUGUGGGGUGCUCGGGUGGCGAACGGGGGAGUAGCACGUGAGUCACCUGCCCUUGACUUUGGGAUAACUUCAGGAAACUGGGGCUAAUACCGGCUAGGAGCUCCUGCUGCAUGGUGGGGGUUGGAAAGUGUCGGCGGUUGGGGAUGGACUCGCGGCUUAUCAGCUUGUUGGUGGGGUAGUGGCUUACCAAGGCUUUGCCGGGUAGCCGGCCUGAGAGGGUGACCGGCCACAUUGGGACUGAGAGACGGCCCAGACUCCGACGGGAGGCAGCAGUGGGGAAUAGUGCACAAUGGGCGGAAGCCGGAUGCAGCAACGCCGCGUGCGGGAUGACGGCCUUCGGGUUGUAAACCGCUUUCGCCUGUGACGAAGCGUGAGUGACGGUAAUGGGUAAAGAAGCACCGGCGAACUACGU